GUUAGGAAUAUUGGACAAUGGGCGCAAGCCUGAUCCAGCCAUGCCGCGUGAACGAUGAAGGCCUUCGGGUUGUAAAGUUCUUUAGCCGAUGAUUAUAAUGACUGUAGUCGGAAAAUAAGCCCCGGCUAACUUCGUGCCAGCAGCCGCGGUAAUACGAAGGGGGCGAGCGUUAUUCGGAAUCACUGGGCGUAAAGCGUGCGUAGGCGGUCUCGUAAGUUAGGAGUGAAAGCCCAGGGCUCAACCUUGGAAUUGCUCUUAAAACUGCAAGGCUAGAAUCUCGGAGAGGAUAGCGGAAUUUCCAGUGUAGCAGUGAAAUGCGUAGAUAUUGACAGGAACACCAGUGGCGUAAGCGGCUAUCUGGACCGAUAUUGACGCUGAGGCACGAAAGCGUGGGGAUCAAACAGGAUUAGAAACCCGUGUAGUCC
rnacentral:rRNA from 1 species